rnacentral:rRNA from 2 species
CGACCGCCUGGGGAGUACGGCCGCAAGGUUAAAACUCAAAUGAAUUGACGGGGGCCCGCACAAGCGGUGGAGCAUGUGGUUUAAUUCGAUGCAACGCGAAGAACCUUACCUGGUCUUGACAUCCACGGAAGUUUUCAGAGAUGAGAAUGUGCCUUCGGGAACCGUGAGACAGGUGCUGCAUGGCUGUCGUCAGCUCGUGUUGUGAAAUGUUGGGUUAAGUCCCGCAACGAGCGCAACCCUUAUCCUUUGUUGCCAGCGGUCCGGCCGGGAACUCAAAGGAGACUGCCAGUGAUAAACUGGAGGAAGGUGGGGAUGACGUCAAGUCAUCAUGGCCCUUACGACCAGGGCUACACACGUGCUACAAUGGCGCAUACAAAGAGAAGCGACCUCGCGAGAGCAAGCGGACCUCAUAAAGUGCGUCGUAGUCCGGAUUGGAGUCUGCAACUCGACUCCAUGAAGUCGGAAUCGCUAGUAAUCGUGGAUCAGAAUGCCACGGUGAAUACGUUCCCGGGCCUUGUACACACCGCCCGUCACACCAUGGGAGUGGGUUGCAAAAGAAGUAGGUAGCUUAACCUUCGGGAGGGCGCUUACCACUUUGUGAUUCAUGACUGGGGUGAAGUCGUAACAAGGUAACCGUAGGGGAACCUGCGGUUGGAUCAC